CGAGGCUGUGAAGCGGAGCAAAUCUCAAAAACCGGUCCCAGUUCGGAUUGUAGGCUGCAACUCGCCUACAUGAAGUCGGAGUUGCUAGUAAUCGCGGAUCAGAAUGCCGCGGUGAAUGCGUUCCCGGGUCUUGUACACACCGCCCGUCACACCAUGAGAGUUGGGAAUACCCGAAGCCUGUGAGCUAACUUUUAGAGGCAGCAGUCGAAGGUAGAAUCAAUGAUUGGGGUGAAGUCGUAACAAGGUAGC
rnacentral:rRNA from 1 species